ACGGGAGGCAGCAGUGGGGAAUAUUGCACAAUGGGGGAAACCCUGAUGCAGCGACGCCGCGUGAGUGAAGAAGUUAUUCGUAAUGUAAAGCUCUAUCAGCAGGGAAGAUAAUGACGGUACCUGACUAAGAAGCACCGGCUAAAUACGUGCCAGCAGCCGCGGUAAUACGUAUGGUGCAAGCGUUAUCCGGAUUUACUGGGUGUAAAGGGAGCGUAGACGGCAUGGCAAGCCAGAUGUGAAAGGUGGGGGCUCAACCCCCAAGCUGCAUUUGGAACUGUCAAGCUAGAGUAUCGGAGAGGUAAGUGGAAUUCCUAGUGUAGCGGUGAAAUGCGUAGAUAUUAGGAGGAACACCAGUGGCGAAGGCGGCUUGCUGGACGAUAACUGACGUUGAGGCUCGAAAGCGUGGGGAGCAAACAGGAUUAGAUACCCUGGUA
rnacentral:rRNA from 1 species